rnacentral:misc_RNA from 1 species
UUUCCGUAGGUGAACCUGCGGAAGGAUCAUUAACGAGUUGAACGGGGUUGUAGCUGGCCUUCACGGGCAUGUGCACACCUCACUCAUCCACUCUACACCUGUGCACUUACUGUGGGUUUCGAGAGGCCGCGCUUGCGUGGUUGAUCGGGCUCACGUCUAUUACAAACGCUUCAGUAUCAGAAUGUGUAUCGCGAUGUAACGCAUCUAUAUACAACUUUCAGCAACGGAUCUCUUGGCUCUCGCAUCGAUGAAGAACGCAGC